UAUCAGCUAUCAACCGUUCGUUACGUGCGACCGAUGGCUUUGACGGGUAACGGGGAAUCAGGGUUCGAUUCCGGAGAGGCAGCCUGAGAGACGGCUACCACGUCCAAGGACGGCAGCAGGCGCGCAAAUUACCCAAUCCCAGCUUCUGGGGGAGGUAGUGACGAAAUCUAACGAUGCGGGCGCCCUUUCUAGGGCCCCGCAAUCGGAAUGAGCACUUUCUAAACAACCUGUUGAGAACCUACUGAAGGGCAAGUCUGGUGCCAGCAGCCGCGGUAAUUCCAGCUUCAGCAGCAUCUAUUAAAGUUGCUGCGGUUAAAAGGCUCGCAGUUGAAUGUCAGUGCCGGGCGCAGGUUAGGUGGACGCUGGGGUGUGAGAACCAACACGGCACGGGCUUCGUCUGGAUGCUUGUCAGCUUGCUGGCCUUCCAGGGGUGGCACCGACCGUGUCUCACAAACUCCCGUCCGUGACAAGCCUCCUCGCCCGCGUACAUAUGGGAAUUGGUUUCGGAGGCGUGCGAACGGCGGCUUCUCUCACGUGUGUGCUGGCUCACGCUGGCCAUACCUGGGGUUGUGUCAGCCACGUGCGUUCUCUUUGUGGUUUCAGAGUCACCUUGAGUAAAUCAGAGUGCUCAAAGCAGUCGUAGGGGCCUUGCGCCCUGUGAAAAGUCUUGACGGACUGACUGGUUAUGCAUGGCAUGUCGGAAGACGACGUCGCGUGCUGGCUCAGAGCUUGAUCAGUGGUAUAAGCCAGCCGCGACGUACUGAUUAAAAGGGACGGUCGAGGGCAUUGGUAUUGCGAGGCGAGAGGUGAAAUUCUAUGACCCCCGCAAGACCUCCUGAAGCGAACGCGUCUGCCAAGGACGUUUU
rnacentral:rRNA from 1 species